rnacentral:rRNA from 1 species
GAUGAACGCUGGCGGCGUGCCUAAUACAUGCAAGUCGAGCGAACGGACGAGAAGCUUGCUUCUCUGAUGUUAGCGGCGGACGGGUGAGUAACACGUGGAUAACCUACCUAUAAGACUGGGAUAACUUCGGGAAACCGGAGCUAAUACCGGAUGAUAUUUUGAACCGCAUGGUUCAAAAGUGAGAGACGGUCUUUCUGUCACUUAUAGAUGGAUCCGCGCUGCAUUAGCUAGUUGGUAAGGUAACGGCUUACCAAGGCAACGAUGCAUAGCCGACCUGAGAGGGUGAUCGGCCACACUGGAACUGAGACACGGUCCAGACUCCUACGGGAGGCAGCAGUAGGGAAUCUUCCGCAAUGGGCGAAAGCCUGACGGAGCAACGCCGCGUGAGUGAUGAAGGUCUUCGGAUCGUAAAACUCUGUUAUUAGAGAAGAACAUAUGUGUAAGUAACUGUGCACAUCUUGACGGUACCUAAUCAGAAAGCCACGGCUAACUACGUG